UACGUAGGGUGCAAGCGUUGUCCGGAAUUAUUGGGCGUAAAGAGCUCGUAGGCGGUUUGUCGCGUCUGCUGUGAAAACUCGGGGCUUAACUCCGGGCCUGCAGUGGGUACGGGCAGACUAGAGUGCGGUAGGGGAGACUGGAAUUCCUGGUGUAGCGGUGAAAUGCGCAGAUAUCAGGAGGAACACCGGUGGCGAAGGCGGGUCUCUGGACCGAUACUGACGCUGAGGCGCGAAAGCGUGGGGAGCAAACAGG
rnacentral:rRNA from 1 species